rnacentral:rRNA from 1 species
CGGAACGGGUGAGUAAUGCGUGACCAACCUGCCCCAUGCUCCAGAAUAGCUCUUGGAAACGGGUGGUAAUGCUGGAUGCUCCAACUUGACGCAUGUCUUGUUGGGAAAGUGUUUAGUGGCAUGGGAUGGGGUCGCGUCCUAUCAGCUUGUAGGCGGGGUAAUGGCCCACCUAGGCUUCGACGGGUAGCCGGCCUGAGAGGGCGGACGGCCACAUUGGGACUGAGAUACGGCCCAGACUCCUACGGAGGCAGCAGUA